AGCGAACGCUGGCGGCAGGCUUAAUACAUGCAAGUCGAGCGGGCGUAGCAAUACGUCAGCGGCAGACGGGUGAGUAACGCGUGGGAACGUGCCCUUUAGUUCGGAACAACACAGGGAAACUUGUGCUAAUACCGGAUAAGCCCUUACGGGGAAAGAUUUAUCGCCGAAGGAUCGGCCCGCGUCUGAUUAGCUAGUUGGUGAGGUAAUGGCUCACCAAGGCGACGAUCAGUAGCUGGUCUGAGAGGAUGAUCAGCCACACUGGGACUGAGACACGGCCCAGACUCCUACGGGAGGCAGCAGUAGGGAGUAUUGGACAAUGGGGGCAACCCUGAUCCAGCCAUGCCGCGUGAGUGAUGAAGGCCUUAGGGUUGUAAAGCUCUUUUGUGCGGGAAGAUAAUGACGGUACCGCAAGAAUAAGCCCCGGCUAACUUCGUGCCAGCCGCCGCCGUAA
rnacentral:rRNA from 1 species